AUGACGUCAAGCGAACCCGUUUGGACUCCAUGGUGGUGGUCACUUUUCGGCGCAGCUGCCGGACUUAUCUAGCAUUCUAGUGUUGAAAUCCGGACGCGUCCGUACCCCUCUUUUAUCCCAAAGGCGCUUCGUCAUUGUCGUUCUCACAUUUUCUUUUAUGAAAACUAUGGUUGUCGCAUCGAAAAAUAGCGCAGUUUGUCAUCUUGCAAUGCCGCUAGCACGAAAAGUGACCAUCAGUGGGAGGAGCUUUCGAGCAUGUCACGUCACUGCACGUCACGCAAUGACGUCAUGCACAUGUGGUCCCGCCCACUGGUGGUCACGCUUCUGCAGCUAGCUGAACUGUGUCCUCGUGGUAUUUGUUUUUGUACGCGACGCUAUGGUAAACUGCGCUAUUUACGGUUGUAACGAGAGAAGUUUCCGCAAGAAAAAGAGGAAGAGUGAAGAGGAAGACGAGGAUUCACGUGAGACCUCGCUGGUAAACGAAUAUUUGCAAAAUGACGAUGACGAAAAUGUUGCAGAAGAGGAGGAGCGACGAGUGGCUCUCACGCAUCAACCGAAAAGACAUGCAAGCAAGUGCCACCCAUUACAGAAUUUGUAGCAAACACUUCAUAUCUGGUGAGCUGAUGUUUUGAUCUGGUAUGCUUCGCAUUACGUGCAAAAGUAUUCAGUCUUUACCUGAUAUGAGCGGCAGCGACAGCUAGAGUUUAGAAGAACAUAACUAGGCCAGUUUCAGGUGAACCACCACUUCUGUACGAUGUCAACAACCCGUACUGGGCACCAAGCGUCCAGCUUGGUCACAACAAGUGACUGCACUGUAAUUUAGACAGAUACAGUAGGCGCAAGAAUAGGGCAGCAUGCCAGGCAGGAGUUGCAAGGCACCUCACAGAACCCAAAAAUGUGCCUGUGGCUGACAGUGCUGGUACAGACACAGAAGCAUCAGAGUGUGGACUCAGUUGAGAUGAUGAAGACGGGCAACUACAGGAUGCGCUUUCACAUGACAAGGCAAUUGCAUCGGAAAUCUCCAUGGCUGAUAUUCUCCGACUUGAAGAAGAAAUCCGAAGGUUAAACCACGAGGUCUACAAGCUGAAGGCACAUAUGGCACAUACGAGAAAUGACACAAGCGUAUUUUCAGAAUAACUCUGCUGCAGUGAAGUUUUACUCUGGACUUCCCAACUAUGCAAUGUUGCUUACAGUUUUCGAUUUGGUUGAGAACCAUGUCCACCAUACAUCUUGCAAUUCUUUGACGAAAUUUCAGGAGAUAAUGUUAACUUUGGUUCGGCUUUGUUUAAACGCGCCUCUUCAAGAUCUC